rnacentral:rRNA from 2 species
CAACCUGCCUGUAAGACUGGGAUAACUUCGGGAAACCGGAGCUAAUACCGGAUAAUCCUUUCCCUCACAUGAGGGAAAGCUGAAAGACGGUUUCGGCUGUCACUUACAGAUGGGCCCGCGGCGCAUUAGCUAGUUGGUGAGGUAACGGCUCACCAAGGCAACGAUGCGUAGCCGACCUGAGAGGGUGAUCGGCCACACUGGGACUGAGACACGGCCCAGACUCCUACGGGAGGCAGCAGUAGGGAAUCUUCCGCAAUGGACGAAAGUCUGACGGAGCAACGCCGCGUGAACGAUGAAGGCUUUCGGGUCGUAAAGUUCUGUUGUCAGGGAAGAACAAGUACCGGAGUAACUGCCGGUACCUUGACGGUACCUGACCAGAAAGCCACGGCUAACUACGUGCCAGCAGCCGCGGUAAUACGUAGGUGGCAAGCGUUGUCCGGAAUUAUUGGGCGUAAAGCGCGCGCAGGCGGUUCCUUAAGUCUGAUGUGAAAGCCCCCGGCUCAACCGGGGAGGGUCAUUGGAAACUGGGGAACUUGAGUGCAGAAGAGGAGAGCGGAAUUCCACGUGUAGCGGUGAAAUGCGUAGAGAUGUGGAGGAACACCAGUGGCGAAGGCGGCUCUCUGGUCUGUAACUGACGCUGAGGCGCG